GCGGGGAUAGCUUAGUGGUCAAGAGCGCUUGUCUUCCAGGCAAGAGACAUCGGUUCGAAUCCUUUUCCCCGCUCCA
rnacentral:tRNA from 1 species